UACGAAGGGGGCUAGCGUUGCUCGGAAUCAUUGGGCGUAAAGCGCACGUAGGCGGCUUUUUAAGUCAGGGGUGAAAUCCUGGAGCUCAACUCCAGAACUGCCUUUGAUACUGAGAAGCUUGAGUCCGGGAGAGGUGAGUGGAACUGCGAGUGUAGAGGUGAAAUUCAAUAGAUAUUCGCAAGAACACCAGUGGCGAAGGCGGCUCACUGGCCCGGUACUGACGCUGAGGUGCGAAAGCGUGGGGAGCAAACAGGG
rnacentral:rRNA from 1 species